rnacentral:rRNA from 1 species
CGCGGUUGGGUUAGUCCGCUACGAGCGCACCCUUGUCCUUAGUUGCCAGCAUUUAGUUUCGGAUCUCGGAAGCGGGUGAAAACCAAGGGGCACGAAUCGUCUCUCGGGCCUUUAUGUAGGGUACACGUGUAGGGUUACAGGGUCGCACCGCGGGGGGGCAACCAAAAACUGUCACGGUGAUC